AUUGAACGCUGGCGGCGUGCCUAACACAUGCAAGUCGAGCGGUAACAGGUGUAGCAAUACAUGCUGACGAGCGGCGAACGGGUGAGUAAUGCUUCGGAAUCUACCUUAUGGUGGGGAAUAACUAGCCGAAAGGUUAGCUAAUACCGCAUACGUCCUACGGGAGAAAGCAGGGGAUCGCAAGACCUUGCGCCAAAAGAUGAGCUGAAGUCGGAUUAGCUAGUUGGUAGGGUAACGGCCUACCAAGGCGACGAUCCGUAGCUGGUCUGAGAGGACGACCAGCCACACUGGGACUGAGACACGGGCCAGACUCCUACGGGAGGCAGCAGUGGGGAAUAUUGGACAAUGGGGGAAACCCUGAUCCAGCGACGCCGCGUGUGUGAAGAAGGCCUGCGGGUUGUAAAGCACUUUUAGUGGGGAUGAAAUGUGCAGGGUUAAUACCUCUGCAUUUUGACCUAACCCACAGAAAAAGCACCGGCUAACUCUGUGCCAGCCGCCGCCGUAA
rnacentral:rRNA from 1 species